rnacentral:pre_miRNA from 1 species
AGGAGGACCAACCGCAGUGGCGGCGGCCAGCCCCGGAGCCCCCGGAGUCAGCUCCUGCAGCAACCACAGAGCUCCCCGUCUGCAGGGCUCGGAGUCUCCAUGGUGGG